UGGGGAAUAUUGGGCAAUGGGGGGAACCCUGACCCAGCAACGCCGCGUGAAGGAAGAAGGUUUUCGGAUUGUAAACCUCUGUUCUUGGAGAAGAGAAGGAGACGGUAUCCAAGGAGGAAGCCCCGGCUAACUACGUGCCAGCAGCCGCGGUAAUACGUAGGGGGCGAGCGUUGUCCGGAAUGACUGGGCGUAAAGGGCGUGUAGGCGGCCGAUUAAGUCCGGAGUGAAAGUCCUGCUUUCAAGGUGGGAAUUGCUUUGGAAACUGGUUGGCUUGAGUGCGGAAGAGGUAAGUGGAAUUCCCAGUGUAGCGGUGAAAUGCGUAGAGAUUGGGAGGAACACCAGUGGCGAAGGCGACUUACUGGGCCGUAACUGACGCUGAGGCACGAAGGCGUGGGGAUCAAACAGG
rnacentral:rRNA from 2 species